rnacentral:rRNA from 1 species
UACGUAGGGUGCGAGCGUUGUCCGGAAUUAUUGGGCGUAAAGAGCUCGUAGGCGGUCUGUCGCGUCGGUCGUGAAAACUUGGGGCUUAACCCUGAGCUUGCGGUCGAUACGGGCAUGACUGGAGUUCGGCAGGGGAGACUGGAAUUCCUGGUGUAGCGGUGAAAUGCGCAGAUAUCAGGAGGAACACCGGUGGCGAAGGCGGCAUCCUGGACCGAUAUUGACGCUGAGGCGCGAAAGCCAGGGGAGCAAACGGG